rnacentral:lncRNA from 1 species
GGUAGCAGAUAAUUGAUUCCUGGAGUUAUGUAAAUCUACAACAAUGCAUACAAUUAAAAAGACAAAAAAAUAUUAGUAUGUGAAACACAUUUAUGAUAGGCAUUGUGUGGCUUGUUACACUUGUGGAAGUGUAUUUUGUUAAUUCCUUUUCUUGUUUUUUAGUACAACAAAUCCUCAUAAACAAUUAGAACAGAACUUCACAUGUCAAACUUGCUUCUUUUUAUAUCUGUCUAUGUAUCUAUCCAUCUAUCUUAUCUAUGCAUUAAAACAUGAUGAAAAAAUGGAAUCAAUUUUUUCUGCAUAGAAAACAUGAUGAAAAAGAGCACUUAAAACAUGAUUAAAAAAAAAAGAGCACUUAAAACAUGAUAAAAAAAAGAGCACUUUGAUAUGCUUUCUUCCUUAUUUCAGAAAGGAACUAGUUUUGAUGAAAAAAAGAGGGCACUUUGAUAUGCUUUCUUCCUUAUUUCAGAAAGGAACUAGUUUUUAAUGGAAUCAAUUUUUUCUGCAUAGAAAACAUGAUGAAAAAGAGCACUUAAAACAUGAUUAAAAAAAAAAGAGCACUAAAAACAUGAUAAAAAAAAGAGCACUUUGAUAUGCUUUCUUCCUUAUUUCAUAAAGGAACUAGUUUUUAAUGGAAUCAAUUUUUUCUGCAUAGAAAACAUGAUGAAAAAGAGCAGUUAAAACAUGAUGAAAAAGAGCACUUUGAUAUGCUUUCUUCCUUAUUUCAG